rnacentral:misc_RNA from 1 species
UUUCCGUAGGUGAACCUGCGGAAGGAUCAUUCAUAAUAAAGUGUUUUAUGUCACUUUUUAAAAAUCCAUAUCCACCUUGUGUGCAAUGUUAGAUCUCGUCAAUCUUGGCGAGAUUUUUAUACAUCAACUCAUUCUUUAACUAAUUUGUCUGAAAAAUAUUAUGAAUACUUAAUUCAAAAUACAACUUUCAACAACGGAUCUCUUGGCUCUC